GGGUGGAUUGCGCUGUGAUCCCGUAGGAUGAGGAGUGUCUAGGGGCCAGGUUAUUAAACGGCAAGCGGUGAAAUGUUCUGACCCGUUUAGGAGCGACAGAGGCGAAAGCGCUGGCCAGGGGCAAUUCCGAUGAUAAAGGACGUAGGCUAGAGGAUCGAAGACGAUUAGAGACCGUUGUAGUUCUAGCAGUAAACGAUGCCGAUGUUGUGGUGCCAUGAGGCAACGCAAAAGAGAAAUCUAGUAGGGCCCUGGGGAGAGUACGCGCGCAAGCGAGAAAUUUAAAGGAAAUUGACGGAUGAACACCUCAAAGAGUGGAGUGUGCGGCUUAAUUUGACUCAACGCGGGACAGCUUACCGGGCCCGACGACCGUAUGAGCGUGACACGCGAUAGGUCGGAGAGUGGUGCAUGGCCGUUAACGACGAGUGGAGUGAUCUUUGGGUUAAGUCCGUAAAUUAGUGAGACCCCAGCGAAAGGACAGGUGCGCAACGCACAGGAAGGAUGGGUCAAGGACAGGUCAGUGAUGCCCUUAGAUGGCCCGGGCUGCACGCGCACUACAGUGGUCGCCGAAAUUUGAAGGAAGAGUUAAAGGCGAUCGAGAGGGAAUGAGCUUUGGAAGAGGCUCAGGAACGCGGAAUUGUUAGUAAUCGCGGGCUCAUUAAGACGCGAUGAAUACGACCCUGUUCAUUGUACACACCGCCCGUCGUUAUCGAAGACGAUGCUAGGCGCGAGCGAGGUUUGAUGGCUGAGCAAGCGCAGGGUAUUGAAUCUGAUGUAAGUCGUAACAAGGUAGCUGUAGGAGAACCUGUAGCUGGAUCAGACAAGUAGAAACAUUUGAGAUAAAGAAAUCUCUGCGCAAGGGAUCUUUUGGCUCGCGGGACGACGAAGGGCGCAGCGGAUGGCGUAAAGUGCAGGAGCAGCAGCGAUGACAGCACGUGCCUGAAACAGCGAGAGCAUGAACACCCCUUUGAAUUAAGCAUAUGAGUAAAGGGAGGAAAAGAAACUUACAAGGAUUCCUGCAGUAGCGGCGAGCGAAGAAGGAAGAGCCCCGAGUGCAAUCACGUGAGUGAGAUGUCGGCGGUCGCAGCAACGGCGUUGAAUCGCCGGCCACUGAGGGUGAUAGCCCCGUGCGAGACCGGAUGCGGGAGUAGCAGUGUUUGGUAUUGCACUGUGAACGGGUGGCAGCGCCCAUCCAAGGCUAAAUACGGCGCGAGACCGAUAGCGAAGAAGUAGUGCGAACGAAGAACGAAUAGGCUAAAAG
rnacentral:rRNA from 1 species